rnacentral:rRNA from 1 species
GACGAACGCUGGCGGCGUGCUUAACACAUGCAAGUCGAGCGGUAAGGCCCUUCGGGGUACACGAGCGGCGAACGGGUGAGUAACACGUGGGUGACCUGCCUCUAGCUCUGGGAUAAGCCUGGGAAACUGGGUCUAAUACCGGAUAUGACUCCACGGCGCAUGUUGUGGGGUGGAAAGCCUUGUGUGGCUAGAGAUGGGCCCGCGGCCUAUCAGCUUGUUGGUGGGGUGAUGGCCUACCAAGGCGACGACGGGUAGCCGGCCUGAGAGGGCGACCGGCCACACUGGGACUGAGACACGGCCCAGACUCCUACGGGAGGGCAGCAGUGGGGAAUCUUGCGCAAUGGGCGAAAGCCUGACGCAGCGACG